UUCUGACGCCCUUCAUUCCACCGGAAUCUGUGCACAGAAACCAGAUUUCAGUGAAAUGAAGCCCAUCAGAGA
rnacentral:pre_miRNA from 1 species